rnacentral:tRNA from 1 species
GCCACCUUAGCUCAGUUGGUAGAGCAUCUCACUCGUAACGAGAAGGUCCCCAGUUCGAUCCUGGGAGGUGGCU